rnacentral:rRNA from 1 species
UACGGAGGGUGCGAGCGUUGUCCGGAAUCACUGGGCGUAAAGGGCGCGUAGGUGGCUGGGGAAGUCGGCGGUGAAAGCCCGGAGCUCAACUCCGGGUCGGCCGUCGAGACUCCUCGGCUCGAGCUCACUAGAGGCAGAUGGAAUUCCGGGUGUAGCGGUGGAAUGCGUAGAGAUCCGGAAGAACACCGGUGGCGAAGGCGGCUGACUGGACACAUAUUGACGCUGAGGCUCGAAAGCAUGGGGAGCAAACAGG